UUUGCAAGUGACGAUUAAACAGACAGGGACAUCAGAAAUAAAUCUGUGUUGACUUUAGUCUUUAAUGGGAAUCUCUCUGAUGCAAU
rfam:Brassica rapa chromosome A3, whole genome shotgun sequence.